rnacentral:misc_RNA from 1 species
GUGAAAUUGGGUGUGGGAAAUUGAUGGCAUCUGCUGCAAUUUUCUCAUCGUUGAGAAGACAAAGGUCGCCGACACUGGAAGCGUUCUUGGCGCCGGUGGAUCUGACAGAUGUUGGGUUGUUGCAAACUUUAACGGCGUUAUCUUCUGAGCUGAUUUCUGCAUAUUCAGGUAAAAGGCUGCCGUUUUAUCAGCGGAAGAAUUGUAAGUCUUUGUUAAGGAAAAUUCAAGUAUUUUCUGUUCUCUUGGAGUGUCUUCUUGAGAAUAAAAAGAACAGAAGUAGUGGUUCUUCAGAUUUGCCGUUUACAGCUUUUUUGUGCUUCAAGGAGUUGUAUUUAUUGCUUUACCGGUCGAAAAUCUUGCUUGAUUAUUGCUCUUAUUCAAGUAAGUUGUGGCUGUUGCUACAAAACCAUUCGAUUUCAGGUCAUUUCCAUGAUUUGAACCAAGAAAUCUCGACCCUUUUGGAUGUUUUCCCCUUAAAGGAUUUAAAAAAUUUAUCUGAAG